rnacentral:rRNA from 1 species
GACGAACGCUGGCGGCGUGCUUAACACAUGCAAGUCGAACGGAAGUUAAGUUUUCGGAUUUAACUUUAGUGGCGAACGGGUGAGUAACGCGUGAGGAACCUGCCUUUCAGUGGGGGACAACAGUUGGAAACGACUGCUAAUACCGCAUGAUCUUGUUGUCAAAGCUUUAUGUGCUGGAAGAUGGCCUCGCGUCUGAUUAGCUAGUUGGUGGGGUAACGGCCUACCAAGGCGACGAUCAGUAGCCGGACUGAGAGGUUGAACGGCCACAUUGGGACUGAGAUACGGCCCAG